ACUCCUACGGGAGGCAGCAGUGGGGAAUAUUGCACAAUGGGCGCAAGCCUGAUGCAGCCAUGCCGCGUGUAUGAAGAAGGCCUUCGGGUUGUAAAGUACUUUCAGCAGUGAGGAAGGUGGGUAUGUUAAUAGCAUACUCAUUUGACGUUAGCUGCAGAAGAAGCACCGGCUAACUCCGUGCCAGCAGCCGCGGUAAUACGGAGGGGUGCGAGCGUUAAUCGGAAUUACUGGGCGUAAAGCGCAUGCAGGUGGUUUGUUAAGUCAGAUGUGAAAGCCCGGGGCUCAACCUCGGAAUUGCAUUUGAAACUGGCAAACUAGAGUACUGUAGAGGGGGUAGAAUUUCAGGUGUAGCGGUGAAAUGCGUAGAGAUCUAG
rnacentral:rRNA from 1 species